CGUCCACUGAAUUCCACGUGGAC
rnacentral:snRNA from 1 species